CCUUAGCUUGGUGGUAGAGCAUCUGGCUUUGCAUGGAUAACAUCUCAGAUUCAAUUCCCAGCUUCUAUAGGUAGGGCUGGGACACAGGUGGCGCUGUGGGUUAAACCAUAGAGCCUAGGACUUGCUGAUCAGAAGGUCAGCGGUUCGAAUCCCUGCGACAGGG